GAUCAGUUGAUGAGUUAAUACUGCAACAAUAUGAUGGAGAUAAUCUAUAUGAUUCUUAGUAUUUAAGUCUCUGAUGAUC
rfam:Capsella rubella cultivar Monte Gargano unplaced genomic scaffold scaffold_6, whole genome shotgun sequence.